rnacentral:rRNA from 1 species
GACGAACGCUGGCGUCGUGCUUAACACAUGCAAGUCGAACGAAGUGGCGCACGGGUGUGUAAUACGUGGGUAACCUGCCCUCCUUUUUGGGAUAAGCCUUGGAAACGUGUUCUAAUACCGACUAUAGGGGGAUGGGCUCGCGGCCUUUCAGUUUGUUGGUGGGGUGAUGGCCUACCAAGGCGGUGUCGGGUAGCCGGCCUGAUAGGGGAACAGGAGACAGUGGGACUGGUAUACGGCCAAGAGGCGUACGGGGGGCAGCAGUGGGGGAUAUGGGACAAGGGGCGAAAGACUGAUGCAGCAGCGCCGAGGGGGGGAUGAAGGCUUUCGGGUUGUAAACCUCGUUAGCUAUCGAACGGGUAGGUGAAGAAGAAGCGCCGGCUAACUACGUGCCAGCAGCCGCGGUAAUUC